GCAGUUAACGAUCGCCUGUGCAGGCAGCCGCGGUAAUUCCAGCUCCAAUAGCGUAUAUUAAAGUUGUUGUGGUUAAAAAGCUCGUAGUUGGAUCUCGGCGGACUGAGGGCGGUUUGCUUGCUAGUAUUACUGCCCUAUAGUCCGUAGUUUUGCCAGAGGUUUCGGGGUGCUCUUAAUCGAGUGUCCCGGGAUGCUGGCAGGUUUACUUUGAAAAAAUUAGAGUGCUCAAGGCAGGCUAUUACGCCUGAAUAUUCGUGCAUGGAAUAAUAGAAUAGGAAGUCGUUUCUAUUUUGUUGGUUUUCGGAAAUCGACUUAAUGAUUAAUAGGGACAGUCGGGGGCAUUUGUAUUCAAACGACAGAGGUGAAAUUCUUGGACCGUUUGAAGACAAACUACUGCGAAAGCAUUUGCCAAGAAUGUUUUCAUUAAUCAAGAACGAAAGUUAAAGGUUCGAAGGCGAUUAGAUACCGCCCUAGUUUUAACCAUAAACGAUGCCAGCUAGCGAUCUGCGGACGUUUUUUUUGUAGACUCCGCAGGAAGCUUCCGGGAAACCAAAGCAUUUGGGUUCCAGGGGAAGUAUGGUUGCAAAGCUGAAACUUAAAGGAAUUGACGGAAGGGCACCACCAGGAGUGGAGCCUGUGGCUUAAUUUGACUCAACACGGGAAAUCUCACCAGGCCCGGACACUGGAAGGAUUGACAGAUUGAUAGCUCUUUCUUGAUUCGGUGGGUGGUGGUGCAUGGGCCGUUCUUAGUUGGUGGAGUGAUUUGUCUGGUUAAUUCCGAUAACGAACGAGACUCUGUCCUGCUAAAUAGUGUCUGCUUCUCUUUUGAGCAGACAAUUCUUCUUAGAGGGACUGGCGACUCUUAGUCGCACGAGAUUGAGCAAUAACAGGUCUGUGAUGCC
rnacentral:rRNA from 1 species